UCGAGCAGACGCGACCGUGUACGCGUAUAGAAACGCGCGGGCGCACUUUUAGGAACUCUCCGGUGUGUGUUCCACGAUGAAGAACACCAAAGCAAGACGACGACCAGCUCUCUCUAUCUCUCUUUCUCUUUCUAUCUAUCUAUCUCUCUUUCUCGCUCUCGCUCUCUCGGCGAGAGAGACGAAAAAAAACGACACACCGUGAUUAUACGGCUCGGCACUGUUACUACCUCCCGCGAGAGCCAACCAGCGAGCGAACUCGACCGACUCUCUCCACUCCCGUGAACUAUUUUACACAACGAGUACGAGCUGACUGUCGUAGUACAGCAACGUGCGACGUGUCUCUCGGAUGAUCCCGGCGGCGAUGAUGAUGAUACCUGUGCUGCUCGAUCGCGGCUCUCUCGAGUCUGUCAUCGUGACACACCGCGCGGUGUUUUCGCUCGUGGGCCCUUGACGGGCCCCGUCUCGCGGUUAUAUCGGCAGCGGCACCGCACUGUCAGACACGGACUACGACAGAACAGCCGAGCGACGACUGACUCCUCCGCUCGCGAACCACCGGCAACGUUGCCACAUCACUACCGACUCGCGAUCGGACAAGUCUUCGGCCACCGACGGACAGGUACGAGGUACGACGGUCACUGCGUUCUUGGUGGUGGCGCGCGACCGACUGUUCCAUUCGAUUUUUCUUUUCCUCUUCUGUGUCCCACCGAUUGAUCGGCUCUAUGCCCCUCAACACCUUUGUCACCUGUCCAUUGCAUGCGUCGAUGUGUUCGCCGUGUCUAACCAGGUAACUCUAUUUAUCUAGUUGUCGCUCUUUCUCUACCUCUUACACGCUUUCUCUCUCUCUCUCUCUCUAUCUCUCUGUUUUUGUUAUCGGCCGCGACUCGUGUGUCAAACGGUUAGACGUUUCUGCUCACGCUCGCGUCAUUCCGAACGAACCCUCGUCGCGCUGGCGAUAGAGGGUCACUAAGCUCGUCAGCUACGGUCGGUCGUUGUCGCUGUCUGCCGUUCACUGCAUUCGGAUUCGGUCGGUGCAUCGAAAUCCUCGGUACUCCGGACGAGCACACAGCGUCGAGCUAACUGGCCACAUCUGCUGUCGAUUCGCUAGGAGUGCUCCGCGAACUACAGCGCGGCCGGCCAGUCUGACUGCUGCUAGUCAGUAUUGCUAUGCCUCACUUUCUUACUCCUGCCUGCCAACCUACCAGUCUACCCAGCCUUCUCGAAUCGGCCGUGCCGUGCCUACCUCUCUCGCGUAUUCUCUUUCGCCCCUCUUGCCUCUCUCGCCUAGCCACUUUCCUUCUCCUUUCCUCCUGCCCUACCCUUCGUCCUUUUCUCAUUCACUCGCUCGUUCGCUGGCGCUGUUUGUCCUGCUCGCGCCCGAACCAUUUCACUCGCGCCUACCCACCUUCCUAUCCCCCUCCUCGUCUAACGGCCGCCUCUCGCUCUUUCGAAUGAAUGGUUUAGUUCGGGAGGGCCGCCGUGCCGGAAACAGCCGAUCGCGUCCGGAAAUCACCGAGCUCGGACUUCCCGCAUUAGUGCGCUUCUUGAAUAAAAUUCCAUUCCGUUCUUCCUUUCUUCCUUCCUUGCUUCCUUCCUUACUUCCUUCCUUCCUUCCUUCCUUCCUUCCUUCCUUCCUUCCCAUCUUCCAUCCUUUCCUUCCUACCUCCCGCCCCCGGAUCUUCACCAUCUUCACGCUCUUCCGAAUUUCGCUACCCGACGUACCCGACUCCCGUACCGUCGCGACGGUUUCGUCCGUUCUGCGCGGGUGGCUGAUUUAAAUUUGAUCCCAUCAUUUCAUGAAUCAUCCUAGCAGGGUAAUGUAGGACCUCGGAUCAAUUCUAGUCGAGAAUGUCGAAUUACGCGAAAGGGUAAGUACCCGAUAUUUGUAUCCAUAUUUCGGACACCCGAAUCCAGCCGAUUCAAACCGACCCGACCCGAACCCGUGUACCCGCACACCUCCGGCGUGAUCCGUUGCACUCGUUCGCGUUCCACGAACCUUUCGUCGGAACUUUUCGUGCGUGAAAUUGUAAUACUUUUUGACGCGUGCGUUUCGUUUCUAGUGCACGCGCUUCUGCGCGUGUUUUUCCCUUCUUCCUCUAUAGCGUCUCGUAUCUAGUUUUACCCGCUCGCGAACGGUGUGUCUUGUCUCUGCAGCUCGUCGCGGGUGUCACGGUAACGGUUGUCAGCAUGUUAACCGGGGAGGACGAGUUAAUUCGUCCUUUGUACCCAUUUGUACCCUUCGACUGGAUCUCCUGUUUUCGCGUGUAUUCGUCGGAGAGUAACCUGGACUAAUGCUAUCGGGAUAUCUGCGCCGGCAUAAAUUAGAUCGUAUCUGCGUGAAUUAUAGGGUGAAUCGCUUCGAAUCAUUUUCAUUUGCUGAGAAUCUCCAGUAUUCGUGAUCUAGCUUGAAAUAAAUAUCUCUUCCAAUGCGAACCUGCACAGAGCACGAGGGUUAAAUCCGGUGCAGUGUUAUGGUUUGAAGGUUAUGGGACACAUGUUCGCUCGCAGAAGAAUUGGCGGCAGCGCGUUCCAUAUUCCGUGAAACUGGAGCAGUAUUUUAGGGUGAAAAUUGGCAGCGAUUAAAAGAACUGCAGCGUCUGGUGAACUAAAUUAUGCAAGAAAAAUAUACCGAGCUUCUUCGACGGAAUACGUCAGCGCAGCAGAAAAGCCGCCGCCUUAACUACCGUUUCGCGCAUAUUUUUCAAACAUCCCUUUACGAUCCACUCGAACCUGGAACGUUGAAAGCAGGAUAAUUUGUGGCCACACUUAUGACGAGUGAAAUAAAACAUCGUGAUCCGAAACCCCCGUUGGAAAUCAGUGGAAAGUAUUUUUAAGAAAAUAUAAAAUCCGUUGUAUUUGUAGAAAAUAAUUUUCCUCGUUAAACAAGAAAAACAGCUUGUUGCGAUUUGGUAUCCGAAUAUCUUCGUCCCUAAACAGUUUAUGGCACCUUUAUCGGUUCAAAUGAUCGUGAUGGUUCAUUUUAAUGCGGGAUAAGUUGCAUCGGAGCGUUCUUAUGCAGUGAAUGCACUUUUACAAUAAGAGAGAAUUCAUAGAUUUACUUUUUCACAACGA